UUAAUAUGAUGAGUGAAUCCUCUUGGUCCGUGUUUAUGAUCUGAAUGAUUCUGCUAAAGAGGUCUGAUAAU